CUUCCACCUCAAGGUUUUGCCACCAAUUUUAAGGAUAGGAUUGCUCCAUAGGACUUCCUCUGCAUGACGCCUACAUUUCUGAAUCCGAGAGACCAGGAGGAUGGUGAAAGUUUAAAAUGAAAUCAAGAAGAAAGGAAGAUCUCAGUUCUACACAGGGUGCUAGACUGAACUCAGCCCUUGGCGGAGACUCAGGAGAAAGGGGUCUGUCCCUUAAGUCCCCUCAUUCCCUUGCGCAUAGGCUGGUCGCAAUCCCAGUCCCAAUCCUCAUGUUUGGAGAGCGCAUGGACUCUCUGAGUCUAACAUCAGUCGCAGCAUUGCACUGCCCAAAGUGCGUUGGUGAGCACAACAGAAUCGCCAGUCUGCAAAUACUCGCUGAGGCGCUGCUCAGCCGCAUCAAAAGAGGACUUGGGCUCCAAGAAUCCAUCAUAAACAUCAC